rnacentral:rRNA from 1 species
UACGGAGGGGGCUAGCGUUGUUCGGAAUUACUGGGCGUAAAGCGCACGUAGGCGGCUUUGUAAGUUAGAGGUGAAAGCCCAGGGCUUAACCCUGGAAUUGCCUUUAAGACUGCAUCGCUAGAAUUGUGGAGAGGUGAGUGGAAUUCCGAGUGUAGAGGUGAAAUUCGCAGAUAUCGGGAAGAACACCAGUGGCGAAAGCGGCUCUCUGGGGACCACCUGACGCUGAGGCGCGAAAGCGUGGGGAGCGAACCGG